CACGUAGGGUGCGAGCGUUGUCCGGAAUUAUUGGGCGUAAAGAGCUCGUAGGCGGUGUGUCACGUCGGCCGUGAAAACCUGCAGCUUAACUGUGGGCGUGCGGUCGAUACGGGCAUCACUGGAGUUCGGCAGGGGAGACUGGAAUUCCUGGUGUAGCGGUGAAAUGCGCAGAUAUCAGGAGGAACACCGGUGGCGAAGGCGGGUCUCUGGACAGUUCCUGACGCUGAGGCACGAAGGUCAGGGGAGCAAACGGG
rnacentral:rRNA from 1 species